CCUACGGGCGGCAGCAGUGGGGAAUAUUGGACAAUGGGGGCAACCCUGAUCCAGCCAUGCCGCGUGUGUGAAGAAGGCCCUCGGGUUGUAAAGCACUUUCAGUGAGGAAGAACGCCUGGUGGUUAAUACCCAUCAGGAAAGACAUCACUCACAGAAGAAGCACCGGCUAACUCCGUGCCAGCAGCCGCGGUAAUACGGAGGGUGCGAGCGUUAAUCGGAAUUACUGGGCGUAAAGCGCGCGUAGGGGGCUUGAUAAGCCGGUUGUGAAAGCCCCGGGCUCAACCUGGGAACGGCAUCCGGAACUGUCAAGCUAGAGUGCAGGAGAGGAAGGUAGAAUUCCCGGUGUAGCGGUGAAAUGCGUAGAGAUCGGGAGGAAUACCAGUGGCGAAGGCGGCCUUCUGGACUGACACUGACACUGAGGUGCGAAAGCGUGGGUAGCAAACAGGAUUAGAUACCCUUGUAGUC
rnacentral:rRNA from 1 species